rnacentral:rRNA from 1 species
GACGUAGGGCGCGAGCGUUGUCCGGAUUUAUUGGGCGUAAAGAGCUCGUAGGCGGCUUGUCGCGUCGACUGUGAAAUCCCGCGGCUCAACCGCGGGUCUGCAGUCGAUACGGGCAGGCUAGAGUUCGGUAGGGGAGACUGGAAUUCCUGGUGUAGCGGUGGAAUGCGCAGAUAUCAGGAGGAACACCGAUGGCGAAGGCAGAUCUCUGGGCCGUAACUGACGCUGAGGAGCGAAAGCGUGGGGAGCGAACAGG